GACAGAGGGUGCAAACGUUGCUCGGAAUUACUGGGCGUAAAGCGCGUGUAGGCUGACCGGAAAGUCGGGCGUGAAAGCCCUGGGCUCAACCCAGGAACUGCACUCGAAACUCCCGGUCUAGAGUGGUGGGGAGGGAAGUGGAAUUCCUGGUGUAGAGGUGAAAUUCGUAGAUAUCAGGAGGAACACCAGUGGCGAAGGCGGCUUCCUGGACACCAACUGACGCUGAGACGCGAAAGCGUGGGGAGCAAACAGG
rnacentral:rRNA from 1 species